ACUCAAAUGAAUAGACGGGGACCCGCACAAGCGGUGGAACAUGUGGUUUAAUUCGAGGCAACGCGAAGAACCUUACCAGGCCUUGACAUGCCCUCUAUGGGGCCCAGAGAUGGGCUCCUUCACUUCGGGUGGGAGGUGCACAGGUGCUGCAUGGCUGUCGUCAGCUCGUGUCGUGAGAUGUUGGGUUAAGUCCCGCAACGAGCGCAACCCUCAUCCUCUGUUGCCAACAGGUAAAGCUGGGAACUCUGAGGAAACUGCCGGUGAUAAGCCGGAGGAAGGUGGGGAUGACGUCAAGUCCUCAUGGCCCUUACGGCCUGGGCUACACACGUGUUACAAUGGUAGUGACAAUGCGCUGCGAACCCGCGAGGGUGAGCGAAUCGCAAAAAGCUGCCUCAGUUCGGAUUGUACUCUGCAACUCGAGUACAUGAAGUCGGAAUCGCUAGUAAUCGCAGAUCAGCACGCUGCGGUGAAUACGUUCCCGGGUCUUGUACACACCGCCCGU
rnacentral:rRNA from 1 species